UAAACUAGGAUUAGAUACCCUAUUAUUAAGAAAAAUUAUAUUGUUAGUAUAUAAAUUGUAUGAAAACAAAAAAUCAUGGCGGUAUUUUAAGCUUUUCAGAGGAAUUUGCUCUUUAAUGGAUAAAACACCUAAAUCUUACUAAAUUUAGUUAAGCAGUUUGUAUACCACUAUUUAAGUAAUAAUUUGCUAUUAUUACUAAAAUUUAUAUUAAUUAAAAAAAGUUAAGUCAAGGUGCAGCAUAAAUUUUAGUAUGAAGUGAAUUACAUUUCUUUUAAGAAAAAUUUGUUGAAAAUAAAAUUUAGGAUUUGAAAGUAAAAUUUUAAUAGAAGGAAAAUUUGAAUUAAGCUCUAAAAUAUGUACACAUCGCCCGUCGCUCUCAUA
rnacentral:rRNA from 1 species